GUCUAGGAGGUAGGUCAGGAGCUUGCUUUUGGCUGUUAUAUCUGGGCGUGCUAGUUGUCGUGGCUGGGACUGAGGUGCGUACAACGUGCUUUUGGAGUGUUGGUGCGUCUCUGUGUGCGUGCGUGUUGGAUAGCUUGCUAUGCAGUGUGCGUUGCGUGCGGAUGGUCGUGCUUGGUAACUCUUUGCCGUUCGGGACUUUGACGAAAUGGCGCGAUCCGACCCGUCUUGAAACACGGACCAAGGAGUCUAGCAUGUGUGCAAGUGUUGGGGUGUGGAAACCCAAGCGCGAAAUGAAAGUAAAGGGCGGCUUUUGCUGUCUGAGGUAGGAAACCUUUGCUCGUCAGGGGUGGCACUAUCGACCGAUCAUGAACCCUCGUGGUGAAAGAUUUGAGUAGGAGCACAUAUGCUGGUACCCGAAAGAUGGUGAACUAUGCCUGAGUAGGGUGAAGCCAGGGGAAACUCUGGUGGAAGCUCGUAGCGAUUCUGACGUGCAAAUCGAUCGUCGAACUUGGGUAUAGGGGCGAAAGACUAAUCGAACCAUCUAGUAGCUGGUUCCCUCCGAAAUUUCCCUCAGGAUAGCAGCAACUUCUUUUCGAUAGUUUUAUGAGGUAAAGCGAAUGAUUAGAGGACUCGGGGAAGAAACUUCCUUGACCUAUUCUCAAACUUUAAAUCUGUAAGACCUGCAGGUUCUUAAUUGAACU
rnacentral:rRNA from 1 species